GCGGCUUUAGCUCACUUGGGAGAGCGCCAGACUGAAGAUAACUUCAGAUUAUGAUAUCUGGAGGCACUGUGUUCGAUCCACAGAAGCCGCA
rnacentral:tRNA from 1 species